rnacentral:rRNA from 1 species
GACGAACGCUGGCGGCGUGCUUAACACAUGCAAUUCGAACGAUGAAACCUAGCUUGCUAGGUCGAUUAGUGGCGAACGGGUGAGUAACACGUGACUAACCUGCCCCUUUCUCUGGGAUAACGCUCCGAAAGGAGUGCUAAUACCGGAUACUCACACCGAGGCACAUGCCUUGGUGUGGAAAGUUUUUCGGAAAGGGAUGGAGUCGCGGCCUAUCAGCUUGUUGGUGAGGUAACGGCUCACCAAGGCGACGACGGGUAGCCGGCCUGAGAGGGCGAGCGGCCACACUGGGACUGAGACACGGGCCAGACUCCUACGGGAGGCAGCAGUGGGGAAUAUUGCACAAUGGGCGCAAGCCUGAUGCAGCGACGCCGCGUGAGGGAUGAAGGUCUUCGGAUUGUAAACCUCUUUCAGUAGGGACGAAGCGAAAGUGACGGUACCUAAAGAAGAAGCACCGGCUAACUACGUGCCAGCCGCCGCAGUAA